UGCUCAGAGUGCAAAAGUUUAAGUGUGGAGGAAUUUGAUUAGUGUAUUUUAGUACACCACAUUUAACUUUGUGCUAAGGUAGAUUUUAUGACUAGCUACUGUUAUUUUAUUAUUUUUGUGUAUUUCCUAAGUUUAGCUUAUUUCAGUUUUUAUUUUAAUUUGAUUAUUUAUUUUCUGAAUAAACAAUAAUUUCACAUCUUCUCGUUCUGCAUGUCAUUACUUUAGCUACAAGAUAUCGUUUGAC
rnacentral:lncRNA from 1 species